ACGUCUGGAAAGUUUUUUUUUUUACGGGGCUGCAUUUAGACAGCGUUUGUAGUAGCAAGACUGUUGUUUUAAAAAAGGAAAUAUUAUUAUUAAUGAAUAAUAUUAAUAUUCCUCCGACAUGUAGUAUUAGAAGAAGAACCCUUUUUAUCGCUCGAAGUCGGUGUUUUAUUAUUCAGUUGUAAAUUAGUUUGAGAUGACUUACCAUUCCUGAUUCAUGUCAACAGUAGUGGGGUAUGGUCUUUUCUCAUAUUCUAAUACUGCAGUGCGUGUUGUUAAUACACACUUUAUGCUCUUAGUUUCUGCCCAGUUUCAAACGCUUAAUAUGUCAUCGGGGCGCUGCUUUCACUUUCAGUGUUGCCCAGCCCUUCACUUCUGUCCAGUCCACAAAAUAUCCUCCAUUCUCAUUCUGAAUUUGAGCUGGAAAGGGGGCAGGAAUUUCUGCUCGCCAGUGCAUACGAUGUUCUGCCAAGGGUUAUUGUGUAAUUGACUACUCCUCACAUACACCGAGGUUCACACAGGUUUGGGCAUUCCUUUUAUGACUGACAGGAGUUCCUUUCUGGAUUGACAGCCUGAGCUUUUUUAAAAGUUGUAUGAAACUUUGUCACCAUAGACUGACUAACUCUGAGUGACUUACUGCAAAAUCGAAUAUUUUAUGAUGGACAAAGCAAAAUUAUGGUGCAAAAUCAAGAACAGCUGAGAAUUGGGAGUAAGAUGAUAGCCAUUUGGUCUUGUUAAGAAUGUAGCCUGUUCAGCCGUUUUGCAAGAGCCUGUGUAUGUACUGUGUUAAAUAGACAGUGUUCACCCUUUACAGCCUGAAACUCCUUUACUAACAAAGGGUAUUUUGUCCGCACAGGAACGUGUUAAUGUUUACAGACCACUUCUGCAGACAAGUAGCCUUACCAGACUGAGAAGUUUUUGCACAACGUUAAUAAAACUUUUACAAUAAAUUAUAUAUUCUUA